GAUGAACGCUGGCGGCGUGCCUAAUACAUGCAAGUCGAGCGAACAGACGAGGAGCUUGCUCCUCUGACGUUAGCGGCGGACGGGUGAGUAACACGUGGAUAACCUACCUAUAAGACUGGGAUAACUUCGGGAAACCGGAGCUAAUACCGGAUAAUAUAUUGAACCGCAUGGUUCAAUAGUGAAAGACGGUUUUGCUGUCACUUAUAGAUGGAUCCGCGCCGCAUUAGCUAGUUGGUAAGGUAACGGCUUACCAAGGCGACGAUGCGUAGCCGACCUGAGAGGGUGAUCGGCCACACUGGAACUGAGACACGGUCCAGACUCCUACGGGAGGCAGCAGUAGGGAAUCUUCCGCAAUGGGCGAAAGCUUGACGGAGCAACGCCGCGUGAGUGAUGAAGGUCUUCGGAUCGUAAAACUCUGUUAUUAGGGAAGAACAAAUGUGUAAGUAACUAUGCACGUCUUGACGGUACCUAAUCAGAAGGCCACGGCUAACUACGUG
rnacentral:rRNA from 1 species